AUUGUUUUGGCUCAGUGGUAGAGUGCUUGCCUUGCAUGCAUGAGGCCUUGGGUUUGAUUCCUCAGCACCACA
rnacentral:tRNA from 1 species